CCUACGGGUGGCAGCAGUGAGGAAUAUUGGUCAAUGGACGAGAGUCUGAACCAGCCAAGUAGCGUGAAGGAUGACUGCCCUAUGGGUGGUAAACUUCUUUUAUAUGGGAAUAAAAUGUUCCACGUGUGGGAUUUUGUAUGUACCAUAUGAAUAAGGAUCGGCUAACUCCGUGCCAGCAGCCGCGGUAAUACGGAGGAUCCGAGCGUUAUCCGGAUUUAUUGGGGUUAAAGGGAGCGUAGGGGGUUUGUUAAGUCAGUUGUGAAAGUUUGGGGCUCAACCGUAAAAUUGCAGUUGAAACUGGCAGUCUUGAGUACAGGAGAGGUGGGCGGAAUUCGUGGUGUAGCGGUGAAAUGCUUAGAUAUCACGAAGAACUCCGAUGGCGAAGGCAGUUCACUGGACUGCAACUGACACUGAGGCUCGAAAGUGUGGGUAUCAAACAGGAUUAGAUACCCGUGUAGUC
rnacentral:rRNA from 1 species